rnacentral:misc_RNA from 1 species
UCCGGUUUGGCACCGGCAGUCUUCCUAGAGUUCCCGGCAUUACCCGCUGGUAACUAGGAAUAAGGGUUGCGCUCGUUGCGGGACUUAACCCAACAUCUCACGACACGAGCUGACGACAGCCAUGCAGCAUCUGUGCACGAACUCCGAAGAGGGGCUCACGUUUCUGCGAGCUUUCUCGUGCAUGUCAAGCCCAGGUAAGGUUCUUCGCGUUGCGUCGAAUUGAACCACAUGCUCCACCGCUUGUGCGGGCCUCCGUCAAUUCCUUUGAGUUUCAGCCUUGCGGCCGUACUCCCCAGGCGGGGUACUUCAUGCGUUAGCGACGGCACCCAAGGGGUCGCUCCCCCAGACGCCUAGUACCCAUCGUUUACGGCGUGGACUAC